UUCAAAAUCUGGCCUCCAAGCAAUGUGCCCAAGGAUGCACGAAAUCAGGGGCUGAAUCUUUAUCUCCUGCACUUGAUCGUGUCUGCACUGCCAUUCACAACACAGAUACAUUGCUCCUCAGCACUAGCCCUGGCUGAGGCAGUCAGCAAGACUAAUCCCAGAAAUACAGCUCCUGGAUGGGAAUUCAGAAAUGCCCUGCACAACCUGUUUCCUCCCAUGCAGGUUGCAGCUGCAUUUGGCCCGUGAUUCUCCCCAGAUGUGUGGUGAAUUUAAAGAUCUAUCCCAGUCCUUGACCUACAUGGAGGAGCACAGAGCCAGUCAUUUCUGAACCAACAGCCAUAGAAAAUCUGAGGUCUUUUCAUGCUGGAAAUUCCACGGGGAGGAAGGAGAGUGCCUGCAGACAGCAACUGCCUCUGUAGUGAAGGGAAGUCUGAAGUUUCCCCUCUGCUUUUUCGUGCAUAACAGCAUCUGUACGCCUCAUUUCCAUCUUCACAGCUCCUGUAAUUUACAUAAUGAACAUUUGCAAAGCCUGAGAUCUGGGUUCACUUUGUACCACAUUUACUGUAGAUGACCUUCAGCGUAUCAUCAGAAAAGUUUCCCAGGCAAUUUUCCCAAAGGGUGUGAAUGUGAAACCUACGAUCUCUGGGAAGGAGGAAAGGGGAAUGAAAGCAGAUUUCUGAGAUAUCUGUCAUUCAAAGGCACUCUUGAAAGACAUCCAUUGGAUUUGCAGCAUGGCAGAGGGAGCCCUGUCUACACAGUGGCCUUUGAGGAACAGGUCUGUGGGCUCCAUGCCACCAGCACCACAGGGGAGCUUGUAAUAACCACACCAGCACAGUCCAGAUGUCUUGGAGAGGAUUUGGUUUCAAGACACAUGGCUGCAAGUUCAGAACUUGGAGGGGGGAAGGGGUUCUGCUCUAAUAUACAUAAUUUGUUUAAAAAGUUUGCAGGUGUUAGAAUUUUUAUUGAAGGCAGGGAGCUGAGAAAUCGUAUCCAGUC
rnacentral:lncRNA from 1 species